AAGGCGAUGGAAAGGCGCCUUAUGCAUUUUACGACAUCGACAUGACAGCGAGCACAAGCGUUGCAGAGUACGACGACGAUGAUUCGUCCAUUCCGUUGGACCUCUCCUGGAUUCCAGCUGGCUCGCGGAGUUUCCAACACGACCCUGGCGACGCCGCCACUUGCUCUGACGGGCCUGAGCAACCGACCAUAACCAGAAGUAGCCGUUUCACAACUCCGUCGUCCUGCAGCGGCGGCUAUU